CCAAUAGCGUAUAUUAAAGUUGUUGCAGUUAAAAAGCUCGUAGUUGAAUUUCGAGAUCAAAUUGUUGGUCGUGCCUUGGUACGCACUGGCAUUAUUGGUUUCUCCCCUCUGACGAACCAUGAUGUCAUUAAUUUGGUGUCAUGGGAAAUCAGGACUGUUACUUUGAAAAAAUUAGAGUGUUUAAAGCAGGCUCGCGCUUGAAUACAUUAGCAUGGAAUAAUGAAAUAGGACGUUUGAUUCUAUUUUGUUGGUUUCUAGUAUCGACGUAAUGAUUAAUAG
rnacentral:rRNA from 1 species